rnacentral:rRNA from 1 species
UACAGAGGGGGCAAGCGUUGUUCGGAAUUACUGGGCGUAAAGGGCGCGUAGGCGGCCCGCUAAGUCGAACGUGAAAUCCCCAGGCUCAACCUGGGAACUGCGUCCGAUACUGGCAGGCUUGAAUCCGGGAGAGGGAUGUGGAAUUCCAGGUGUAGCGGUGAAAUGCGUAGAUAUCUGGAGGGACACCGGUGGCGAAGGCGGCAUCCUGGACCGGUAUUGACGCUGAGGCGCGAAAGCUAGGGGAGCAAACGGG